UGUGGCCAUUGUCUGUCCAUUUUGUCUGUCUGUUUUUGUGAAAAGAAUGUCUGUUUCAUGUUAUGUGAAAAUGAGGGUAUAUGUGGCAGGAUACAUUUAAUGUAAAUUGUUUUCUGAUUACUUUUCUGAAACUAAUUGGAAUUUUGAGUUUUAAGUCUGGGGAAGCAGUCCUGGCUAUGGACCGCCUGCUUGAAAGGGAGAUGAGAGGCCAAGUAUCCAUAGUCUUUGUGUCAGACCACCAGGUGCUACAAAGUACCUGUGAGGUGUGGGCGGUUUCCUCUCUACCUGGACUCGGACAUCCAGCACCUCUUACUACAGUUUGUGAACUUUGGAUUAUUCACCACUAGACUCCCAAGCUCCUCCCUCUGUGUGGACUCAGACCUGCUGUGGACUGUUCUUGUUGGACAAGCAUUCUGGAUUGCCUGACUCCCAAGCCCUGUGGAAUGAUUCCCCCGGUGUAUUUCUGCCCUGUGAUCAAAAGAACCCGUGAAGUCUGGAGAACCUGCCGACCAUUGCCUACUAGUUUUCCGGUGGAACUGUAAGCAUUGUUUGUAAAUAAACCUUUGAACCUUU